ACUUGUUUUCAUAUAAAGAACAAGUUUGUUCAACAGUGAUUUUGCCUGUUGACCAAAGACAGGACUCGUUACCCCUUAGGGCCUUGCUUGGUAAUAUGUGCUUUUGCUUUUUUUAGGUGGGGGUGGGUGGGCAGAGAGGCGCUCACGAAUGUUUUUAAAACUUUUGUAUAAAUUUUCAUUUUAUUCGUAACAUAAACAUCAUCUACAAGCAAAUCCACAUUCUGUUUUCUAUAUUAAGGCCUUUCAUACUUGUGAUUUAAAAUGCAUGCAUUCAUUUUUUUUCAUUAGGUUUCAAAUAAUCGUUUCAAUUAUUUCCAUGUUUUCAGGUAUCACUCUUCACUAUAUUAAAAGAUAAUAUCGCUUUUAUUAUUUUAAAGACAUAUAUUAUACAUUCUCUGAGGAUUUUCCAGAAAUUUCCUCUGUAAUACCUCUGGUUGGAAAGGUGAGGGACAGAGACUUUACUGGGAGUCACAGGAAAAGUCUGCUCAGUCUCCUGCUUAAAAAGAGCUCUGAAUGUUUUUAUUGCACAGAUGAAUUUUCUCUGAUUGUCAGAUGUUCACAAAGGCUUUAACUUGUAUGAAUGAACUCCGAGACCACCUUUCUGAAUGCACAGACCUGCCACGUUGUUGCUGUGUAAGCAUGAAUUUCAUCAUAUUGUCAGCUUUUCAUCUUACCCAAAAGCUAUAAACAUUGGCUAAAGUCCUCAAUUGCUUGCUCCUCAUUUUUGUAAAUGUGUGCAUGGCAUUUCCUUGAACAGAUGGCUCAUAAAACAGAUAUAAAUUCUCUUUGAUGAGUAAAUACGAAAAUUGUUUUCAGUUAAAUAAAAAAUGCCACUCAGAAAAUUGGCAAAUGCGUCUCCAGGCAGCAAAUAUUUUUAGAUUACGGUCUUGUAGAAAUAUAAUUACAAUAAGUACUUAUUUUGUUUUAUCACAUAGCAUGUUUCAAAGAGGUUUUCAUGCAUGUUUCUUUUUCGGAUUACCAUUUUUAUUGACAAUAAGUUGCCCAUCUUUCUAUUUCUGAUCUGAUCUUUUGAUGUCUGUUGUUUUUGUCUGAAGCUCUGACUCUCUUCUAAUGUACUUUGCAUAUGAAGAGAAAGCUGGUUAUCCUGACUAGUAAAGAAGGGAUUAUUGAACCUGAAACUGUGAAGAGACACAAAAGCAACAAGAGGACAGAAACAAUUCAGGGCUUCAAUAAGCAGAGUACAAUCUAUUUAGUGACUGCAAUGUGGAAAUCUCUAAUGUCAGCAAGACUGUGUUGAGAGGAACACAUUUUCUUGUGAGUGAGCAUUCCUAGAGGAUGAGUAUCUUAGAGACUCAACGGCAUAUGUCUGCUAUGCAAGUAAUGAGUCCUCCAUCUAAUGGUGUACAAACUAUUCUGGAAGGAUCUGUUCAGGAUUUAUGAGGUGUUAGCAACCUACAGAGCAAGAACACUGAUACUUUUUGGUUACUCCAAAUUAUUAUUUAUAAAAUAUUAUUAUAACUUGGUGUUUGUUUUGCCAGGUAAGACUUCAGUCAGGGGCUCUGAGGUCGGUACUGUAUCCAGGGAAUUUAAAGUCCAGAUCUUAGUUUAAAAAAAAUGGCCUGUCAUCUUCACUCUAUUAUUGAAUUAGAGCCUGACAUCAUUAAUUUUAAUUUUACUGAAUAUAAAUAGCAACCCUAUAUUCUAUGCAUACUGUUUUGACUGUGGCAUUUAUUUAGAGAAGAAUGGAGACAAGAUGAUUCCAACUUAAAGGAAACUGGAAGUAUUCUGAGGAAACAAAUAGAGAAGUUCUGUGACCCAUGUUUUGGUGAAGUAAUGAUGACACAGGGAUACCCUGCCUCAUGAACGCUGGUGUGACUUCUCUCUUCUGUUCUUACCACUGGACAUGAUGGCUUGAUGAAGUCAGGCCACCUCGCUCUUCUAUGCUCUCAGUUCCAUCUUCUCAACUCGGAAAGCCUGCCAAGGUCCUUACAACAUCACAGCUGGGAAACUCUCAAAGCAGUAAACUUGGGCAAUAGUAGGCUUCACUCACAUCAUUGUUGUGUAUUUCCAGGUAUCAUUGUUCUCCAUCAUUUGGUGUACAGUACUUUAAAAAAGUUUCAUAUUCUUUGUCCAUUUUUUUAUUUAUGUGUGAUAAGGCAUGUCCAGUUCCUAUUAGUUUUUCCAUAACAUCUUGAUUCAUUCCUCCUGCAAAUUCUCGAUGAUCACUCCAUCCCUGGCUAUAUGCUUCUUGUUCACAGUGUAAAGGAGAAUAAAGACCAAUGUAAGCUAAA